rnacentral:rRNA from 1 species
UACGUAGGGUGCGAGCGUUAAUCGGAAUUACUGGGCGUAAAGCGUGCGCAGGCGGUUUUGUAAGCCGGAUGUGAAAUCCCCGGACUUAACCUGGGAAUGGCAUUCGGGACUGCAAGGCUGGAGUGCGGCAGAGGAGACUGGAAUUCCUGGUGUAGCAGUGAAAUGCGUAGAUAUCAGGAGGAACACCGAUGGCGAAGGCAGGUCUCUGGGCUGACACUGACGCUCAUGCACGAAAGCGUGGGGAGCAAACAGG